GAUGUUCUUGUUCAUUCAGCUAACUCCUUUUUGAUGUGAUACCUACUGGCAGGGUUGUGUGGUGAAUUCAACUUCUUUGACAGCCAUCAGCCCCACUGACCAGUAGUUUCAGUUUUUGUAGUUAGGGGAAAGAUGAGAAAAAAUAUUUCCAUAAUUUGGAUUUUUUUUUCAGCUGCUGGAUCGAAAGCCCCUGCCAACAGCUAUCUAAAUCAACACCAUGCCAACAUGUUCUGUAGUCCGAAGGUCACUCAAACAUCUGGCCCCACAGUCUUGUUCUUUAAGUGCCUUAUGGUUAACUUCUGGAUGUAUUGUUUCAAAACAAUGAGGAACUUCUUGCUUUAUUCUAUAAAGGGGUAGUAAAUCAUGACUCAGGAAAUGUCUCAGCUGAAGGUCAUUGCAUAAGGAAGCAGAGGUACUGAGACAGAAAGUUUGUCCACAUUUUUGUAUAACAACUGCGGUUGAUAUCACCUGCAGGAAUCAGAAGGUUUCAUCCUGUUGCUGGUGCUAGCAUCAGAAAAAUGUAGGUGCUUUCUGAGAAAAAUAAAGCAGAUUUGCACAUCAGAAAAUUUG